rnacentral:rRNA from 1 species
UACAUGGGGUGCAAACGUUGCUCGGAAUUAUUGGGCGUAAAGCGCGCGUAGGCGGUUACUCAAGUCGGAUGUGAAAGCCCUCGGCUUAACUGAGGAAGUGCACCCGAAACUGAGUAGCUAGAGUACUAAAGAGGGUCGCGGAAUUCCCGGUGUAGAGGUGAAAUUCGUAGAUAUCGGGAGGAACACCGGUGGCGAAGGCGGCGACCUGGGUAGAUACUGACGCUGAGGUGGCGAAAAGCGGUGGGGAGCAAACAGGG